AGUGAACGCUGGCGGUAGACCUAACACAUGCAAGUCGAACGGCAGCACAGUAAGAGCUUGCUCUUACGGGUGGCGAGUGGCGGACGGGUGAGGAAUACAUCGGAAUCUACUUUUUCGUGGGGGAUAACGUAGGGAAACUUACGCUAAUACCGCAUACGACCUACGGGUGAAAGCAGGGGAUCUUCGGACCUUGCGCGAUUGAAUGAGCCGAUGUCGGAUUAGCUAGUUGGCGGGGUAAAGGCCCACCAAGGCGACGAUCCGUAGCUGGUCUGAGAGGAUGAUCAGCCACACUGGAACUGAGACACGGUCCAGACUCCUACGGGAGGCAGCAGUGGGGAAUAUUGGACAAUGGGAGCAAGCCUGAUCCAGCCAUACCGCGUGGGUGAAGAAGGCCUUCGGGUUGUAAAGCCCUUUUGUUGGGAAAGAAAAGCAGCAGGUUAAUACCCCGCUGUUCUGACGGUACCCAAAGAAUAAGCACCGGCUAACUUCGUG
rnacentral:rRNA from 1 species